GCUGGGCAUGGUGGCUCAUGCCUGUAAUCCCAGCACUUUGGGAGGCUGAGGCGGGUGGGUCACCUGAGGUCAGGAGUUUGAGACCAGCCUGACCAACAUGGUGAAACCCCAUCUCUA
ensembl:misc_RNA Metazoa_SRP Metazoan signal recognition particle RNA